UACGUAGGGAGCAAGCGUUGUCCGGAAUCAUUGGGCGUAAAGCGCGCGUAGGUGGCCUCGUAAGUCCGCUGUGAAAGUCAAAGGCUCAACCUUUGAAAGCCGGUGGAUACUGUGAGGCUAGAGUACGGAAGAGGCGAGUGGAAUUCCUGGUGUAGCGGUGGAAUGCGCAGAUAUCAGGAGGAACACCAAUAGCGAAGGCAGCUCGCUGGGACGUUACUGACACCGAGGCGCGAAAGCGUGGGGAGCGAACAGG
rnacentral:rRNA from 1 species